CACGUAGGGGGCGAGCGUUGUCCGGAUUUAUUGGGCGUAAAGAGCUCGUAGGCGGUUUCGUAAGUCGGAUGUGAAAACUCCAGGCUCAACUUGGAGACGCCAUUCGAUACUGCGAUGACUUGAGUCCGGUAGGGGAGUGUGGAAUUCCUGGUGUAGCGGUGAAAUGCGCAGAUAUCAGGAGGAACACCGAUGGCGAAGGCAGGUCUCUGGGCAUUAACUGACGCUGAGGAGCGAAGGCCAGGGGAGCAAACGGG
rnacentral:rRNA from 1 species